UUAUUUAUUCUUUUAUUGAUCGGUAGGAGCAUGAUCUUAAUCCAUAUUCACUAAAAUCUUUCAGAUAAAAGUUGCUUCUAACAUGGAAAUUUAGGAGCAGCUCUUAAAAUAAUGAGGGGCGUGUCACUCCUAAUUUUAGAAAUCAUACAUUUUUAAUCUAAUGUCCUGUCCCAAAUGGCACACUUCAUAUGCACUUUAGGUCUUGUGGACUUAUAAUGGCUGCCGCGUGCGCAUGAGACUGUAGUGUUACGAUCUCUGGUCUAGAUCAGGGUGCAACAUAAAUGACACAACAGUGAAGAUACUUCUUAAUUACUCAUUUUUAUUUUCUUAAUUGUUCUCUUGUUCAUUUUUCGAUGCGUUAGUAUUUUUGGUGUAUACAAAACAAUUUCUUGAAAAAGAAAGAAACAAAAGAAUUCUGAAGCAAAAUCUUCAGGGGUGAGCUUGUGCCAAAACAAUAAACAAACAGAAACUAACUUAAGUAAAGUAAGUAAGCUACUCCUUAGCUACCCAAUAAACAGGAGAAAAGUAAUGCCUGUUGGCCUAAAAAAACAAAACAAAAACAAGGCACUCACCCCCUAUGGCUUCCCAAAAUAGUUAAGAAGUUACAAACAUGGUCAGCAGGACAUUAAUGUUCUAGAAAUAAGGCUCUCACGCAAUAUCAAAGGAGGCUAACAGCGCUCUGUUGGAGCAUAAAUCACAAUCUGUUGCAUGACAUAUUCAGCUGCUAACACAAAAUAUCACAACAGGCAUGAGCAAUCAAUUAAAGAGGCAGAGAGCUCCCUCCAGUGGAAUACCGGGGGAAUUUGUAGUCUAGGUCUCUUCUCUGGUCCAACCACCAACAGCCUCACAUUAUGCCCAGGACCAAUCCUGAAAGAGGAGAAGGAGACAGCAGGAAUAACAACCAAAACAAAUAAUAACAAUUAAAAUUACAAAUCAUUAUUUGUAACAAUAAAACAAUUCUUAAUCCCCAGCUUACAUGGGGCAUGCGACAAGGCAUCAGCAAGCACAUUCUCACACCCCUUCCUUUUGUCGAAUUUCCAAGUUAAAAAGAAACCAGCGCAUCAGUCUUUGGUUUGAAUUUGAUAUUCGAAACAGAAAAACAAGGAGAUUAUGGUCAGUGUUAGAGGUCUUCACGGGUCCAAAAAUUCGUACCCUGAACCCGAAGAGACCCGUAAAUGUGCUACACGGAACCGACCCGGACCCGACUAUUAUUUUGAAAGUUGGACCCGGACCCGACUGGACCCGAUCGGCACAUAGGUCUAUUCCACAGCAAAUUGCUAUUAAUAAGUCAAUAAACAAGUUGCAAAAAUAAAACGUUUUGUCUUACCUAAUGUUAGUAACCUUCUCCCUUGUACCUGACUGUGAUGCACAAUCCUCCUUGCCAAGAAAGUUCCAUCCAUGUUAUUCCUCUCUUGCUGAUUGAAAUGCUUAAUCCACUCAUUCUUCCAACUUUAAAAGUCCACUUGCUGUCACGAUGACAAAUGCAACUUUGUUGUAUCUCGAGUCAGCUCAUAAUAAAAUAAUUCGACUGUUUGACCUUUUGAACUAUAAUGCUUGUUCAGUGACAUGGCCGCUGACGUUAGCAUUACUUAUUUGCGAUCAUUUCUGUGCUCUCUGAGCCGAGUCUGACCAAAAUUUUAGAUAUAACAAGACGGUUCAUUCAUAAUGUUAUUAUAAAAAAUAGGGAUUGAGACUGCACAUGCGCGUUAGCUGGAGCAACCUGAAACAUAAGACGCAUUUUGAGCGUCAUAGAAAACAUUCAUGUGAUGGUUCAUCUCAGAUUUUGUUGCCGAUUUGAAAUAUGUUAUUUAAAUGCGCGUGUGCAAUGCUGCAAGCAGUUUUUGAGAUUGGAAGUUUGUUUGCAUUACUGUUGCACACAAUAGGAAUAGGAAAACUCGAUGAUCACCAUUCGCUUGCAUUAACUCCGCUCGCUUCGCUUCUGAUGGCUGGGGUCGCUCGUGUUUUUUUUCCACCUUAUUUCCAGGCUCAUACUUUGCAAGUUACAAAACACACGCACAGCACUGACUGACUCUGAAUACGGUCGGGUGAUCUCCGAGGCCGAUCGGCUCGGGUGUUUCACACAAUGUUAAACAGACCCGGGAACCGAAGUAAUAGAUUGGGACCCGACCCGGACCUGGCUGACCAUUUAAAAUAAAGACCCGAACCCGUACGGGUCCCGGGUCCUCGUGUCUCGGGUACUCUUUGUAGACCUCUAGUCAGUGUACACCAGGAUAAGGACAUUACAAGCAUCAAGGUAAAUUUCAAAGUGCUGGAGUGCCAGCAACAGCACAAGAGCUUCUAUUUCGAUUGUGCUAUAGUGUUGCUCUGAUUUCGUGAAUUUCUUUGAAAAAUAACAUAUCGGGUGAUCAAUUCCCACAGCAUCCUCCUGAAUAAGGACUGCACCCACUCCCACCUCACUCGCAUCCACUUCUAAUUUAAAUGUUCAUGAAAAAUUUGAAGCUGAUAAAACUGGGGCACUACACAGCAACAUUUUAAUAGCAUCAAAAGCUAACUGACACUCUGAAGUCCAUUCAAAAACUUUAGAUUGACUCAAUAUGUUUGUGAGUGGUAAUGCAACCUCAGCAAAGUUCUUGCAGAAAGCACAGCAAUAUCCUGUCAUUCCCAAGAAACGACGCAACUCCUGUUUAGUUUUUAGAGCUGGGAAAUCAACAAUGCACCCGAUUUUUGCAUCGACAGAACAUGCUUGUCCUUGACCCACACAUUUCCCAAGAUAGGUGUGGUAGAGUUUCCCCUAUGCACCUGACUUAAGUUAAACCGGGUGUCCCAGACACCUAUGAAUUUAUACAAGCGUACUUCAAUACCUGUUCGAGUUGGCCGACGUCUCGGCCUGUUUGAGCACUAUCACCUGGUAAUAAGAUCUUUAGUGUUCCACUAAACACUAUCACUUGAGUAUAGAAGUAAGAUCUCUAGUGCCUGGUCUGCUGCGCAGCCUAAAAAACAAACAGACUCCAGACUAUGCCUUAGAAUAUGCUUUAAUCACGGCCGGAGGUCCUCGUAUCAAUCACAGAGAAUCCCACCAGCAAAAAGAAUACAACAGUUUAUAUAGGAUAGGAGCAUGGUAAAGCAUUCUACAGUAUGAUUGGUUCUUCAUAUGUCAAACCCUUCUGUAAAGCAAGAUCUGCCCAAGUCAUGUGUUUAUUAGUUUGUUCGUUACUCAAUAUCAUGUGGCUAUUAUAUUUAGCUACUAAGUUUCAUUUCCACUUUUGUUAUAUUUGGACAUGAUUCAGACACACACUGACUUAGGGCCAAAUUUUGUGGUUUCAAAAGCAUAUAAAUGUUAUUCCUGCAAGGAAAAAGAAAUGUUAGUUAUGAUUAAUUAAAAAAUUCCAUCACAUAGGUCACAACAGCUUUACUGAACUCACACUUGGCGAGAUUGAAAGUAAGUGAUGCAUCGCUUAAACGUUCAAACACUGAAUACAGACUUGUAAGAUGCUGUUCCCAGUCAAAUAAAUAAACAACAAUAUCAUCCAGGUAUGCCUUACAGUUUUCUAACCCAGCCAACACUAUUCUCAUUAGGCGCUGGAAAAUGGCGGGUGUAUUCCGCAUCCCAAAGCCAUCCUCUUGUAUUGCAGGAAAUGAUCAGGCGUAACAAAGGCUGAGAUUUCUGAAGCCCUGGUCGUCAAAGGUACCUGGCAGUAACCUUUUAACAGGUCAAGCUUAGUCACAAACUUUGCAGCACCAACCCUGUCAAUACAAUCAUCCAUCCAUCCAUUCAGAAUCAAAAUUUCCUGUCUGAUUUAGGCACCAGUAGACAGGGUGAGCUCCAUGGGACUUGGCACAGCAAAACCAUGUUCUAACAGGAGUGUUACCCAGGAAGAGGAAGAAAGACAAGCACCAAAUCACCUUCCUGAAAACUUCAAUAAACACUCUUUUUAUCAAAGUGAGUUUUUGGUUUAGUCUGAGUGCGGCCCAACUCCGAAAGUGCCACUUCACGAGCUCGGUGUAGACGUUCUCGGAACGAAUUCACAUACUCAAGUACAGUAGUUUGUGGUUUUGUCUCAGACAACAACUGUUCACGAACAAUUUUAGUGGGCCCCGCACAGUGUGCCCGAACACCAAUUCGGCAGGACUAAAACCAUCCUGGUCAAAAACAAACAUUAGGAGAAACAUCCUGCACACAUUCCUUUCUGUCAACUCUAAAACAUCAUCAAACUUUCCUGCCUGUGCGGUAACCCGUGCUCAGACUAGAAAGACAGAAGAAAACUGUUGGCCCACAUCCUCUGCUACCAACCUCUUCACACAACCCAGACACAUCUGGUUUGUCCACAACGAUGGGCUGAGGGAACACUUUACCACCAGCAAUAUCAUUGCCUAAUAUCAAACCUACUCCUCCUAUGGGAAGCUGAGAAUGUUCUCCCAACUUCACAAGUCCUGUGAACAAAUCAGAUUGAAGAUCCUGUGUUUUAAAAAAAAAUAAUUGGAAAGCAAUAGCAGUGAUUGUGCAGCAUUCGCCGAGAGCAGUUGUGGAGAAAAUGCUGAAGCUCUGCACACAGAUACCUGAGUGUCUUAAAAAUAAGAUUACAAACACUUGCACAAACCAUCAGUCCAAAAUCUGUGUGAUCUGCAAAAAAUCACAUGAAAUAAGAUUUUUACAAAUCCUUUUCAAGCUACUUUCAUGUGGUUUGUUUUGUCUGAAGAUGCACACCAGUAAUAUUUUUUUUCUAAGACAUGUUUAUAAAAGCUACUUAAAUGUCCUAAUUGAACUAAUCCUGGUUUAAUCUCAGCCCUGUCUGUGAAACCGGGCCCAAAUGUCUUGGACUCAUCGUCAUGUUGUAAGACAACAUUUAUUUUUACUCUGUAUUUUCUGUUUUAUAGAAAAACCACACAUACUGAAUACACCCAACUAAGACAACUCUUCAACUUUUUUCUAAUAACUGAGUUGUUGUGGUGACAAAUAAACGGGUUACUCUCAUACUGCGGGUUUCAAACCUAACCAGCAAUAUACUCCAAUGAGAAUGUGCUACCAACAGCUAACUCAUUUUUUCAUUAUUUGAAUGUAUGUGUUUUGUUUAUUUCUUAGGUUAUUUAGGUAGUAUUGGUUGUUAGAGUCUAUUUUGAAUUUGAUAUUCAAUGGUUGAGUUUAUUUAUGUGUUUAUGUAUAUGUAUGAUUUUAUUUCAUUUUCCCUGUGAUUAUGAUUUGGUUUGACUCUUGAGUUUGAAAGAGCUCACUUUGCUCUGGUCAUGUCCCCACAGGAAUGUACAACCGAUGUCGUCCACAAGAUGGCGGUAGCACUUUAGGAAACCAACGUUACUCACACAAAAACCAAACCUUUUUACUGUACUUUUUAAUGAUUACAAAUAAAAACUAUUGUCCAGAA